rnacentral:rRNA from 1 species
UGGUGGAGUGAUUUGUCUGGUUAAUUCCGUUAACGAACGAGACCUCAGCCUGCUAACUAGUUACACGAAGGAUCCUCUUCGUGGCCAACUUCUUAGAGGGACUAUGGCCGUCUAGGCCAUGGAAGUUUGAGGCAAUAACG